AGGGCGCUGCCGAGGUGCCUUGUUGCCCCCGACCCUCUACUGCCCCGUCCGCAGAGGCCCACGGUCUAGGUUGUGGUGAUUGUUUUGGUUUGGGUGUUUUUUAGGGGGAUAAGGGGGCUGGGAAUAGAUCCUCCCUGUGGAGUUGGCGGGGAUUCCUCGUUUCUGCCCAAGCGCCGCGGAAUCCAGCACCACCGGCCUGGGACAGCGGCGGGACGCCGAGACAGGUGCCGGCCCCGGAUUUGCACAGGACACUCUGAAGAAUUAUUACAAACAGGACCAAGGCUUGUAGCCUCUUGGACAUUAAAAUUCCGAUAGUGGCAAUAAAUGUACCCUUAGUGGACCCACCGAAUGUAGCAGACAUGAAUAAAAUGCACUUCAGCUGAACCUGGCAGCAAAUCGUGGUAGAAGUCUCUCUAUUAAAACAACAUUUAUGAGGGACUACUGAAUCCAAAUGCUCUACAUCUCCUCUGAGUCAGGAAGGGAGAAAACCAAGAUGAAAGAAGAACAAGAUGAGAGAUGUAAAAUUUCAAUCUUGUUGGCACAGACUAGUUUUGUUGAAUUCCUUAAGGAAGCAGAAGUUGGCUAUCAGCUAUACCUUCUUUAGUGUUUCUCAUUUUGAAGACAUGUCCACUGAUGUGGGGAAGAGUGAAGUUUGGCCUGUGUCAGAGUCACCAGGCACUGACUAAUCUGUUUAGCAUAGACUGCACCUAUGCACAUUAUUGAGAAAAAAGCUUCACAGUCAUGCACCAGAGGUAACUGAUGAUCCUCCCCAAAUUGCUGAACAACUAUCUGGAAUUGCUUGUGCUGCUGCAAAUGACCAGUGGCCAUAUGCUUUCCCCGUAUCAUUCUCUUAAUCUUUUUCUUUAUCUCCUAAGUCAGAUUGAAUCUUCUCAACAUGUAGUACUGAAUCUAUGGCCUCCAGAAUGAUAGAGCUUUGUGGUUUUGAUUCACAUAAUCGAACUUGAGUGGGAGAGAAAGCCAGGCAAAACUGGUGAAAAAUUUGUGGAGAGGGGAAAUGGCAGAGGAGUAGAAUGGGUAAAUCAAUUUACAUCCAAGAAAUGGAUACAAUAAUUGGCAUGUUAAAGCACAGAACUUCAGUGAACAAUCAUCAUCAAUGAAGAUAGUCUAUAAAUGGUAUUAGUGGAUAUGAAAAUAUGCACAGAGCAGGGAAACAGACACUAGGCAACAGAUAUCAAAGACUGUUCACACAUUCUACACGAUGUUUCUGUUUAUGUAAUUUUUUGUUUUGCAUUUUGGAAACUUAUUCCUUUGGAGUAAACCCAGAAUACUGUGUAGGUUUAUAAUUGACCUUUUUGCUAAGAGAGAUGGAGGAUUAGAGAUUAGUGCUGUUAGUUGUGGAUAAGGGCUAAUUUUGCAGAGUCAGACUACAUUUUGAUGAGUUUAAAAUUUCUAAGUAUUAUUUGCAGAGUAUUCCAUGUCCAAAAGCCUGGUUUGGUAUGUCUUUGUCAUGGUGACAUGGUAAGUCUCUGUUGACAGGAAGUUUGCCACAUUCAGUGAAGGAAUUAUUCAGUAGUAUCAAUUUCCUCUAAAUAAGUAGGAUUAUCUUAAUAUCCUAAGAUAUUAGGAAAAAAUUCUAUAGAUGAUGAUAUCUCAGAAGCGCUUACUAUUUUACAUACAAUCAGUUAUCAAAUAUCUGAAUAAGGGAGAAAGAUCCUUAUACAAACAUCAAUUAUUUCAGCCAGUGACUUCAAUAUUCUCUCCUUCUAAAUAUUUUAAUACAUAAAAAUACUGAUGGAAAAUUGUGGGUAAAAUUGUAAUGACUUUUGUGUGGAAUUUAUACACUGAGUUAUUAGGGCUAGG
ensembl:lincRNA